rnacentral:rRNA from 1 species
GACGAACGCUGGCGGCGUGCUUAACACAUGCAAGUCGAACGGGCCUGUCUUCUUUUUUGGGGGUGGGUUGAGUGGCGAACGGGUGAGUAUCACGUGAGUAACCUGCCCUUCGGUCCUGGAUAACCGCUUGAAAGGGCGGCUAAUACGGGGUGGUCCGGUUGGUCCGCAUGGGCUGGUCGGGAUAGAUUCACUGUUUUUGGUGUUUCGGCGGGGGAUGGGCUCGCGGCCUAUCAGCUUGUUGGUGGGGUGAUGGCCUACCAAGGCGGUGACGGGUAGCCGGGCUGAGAGGGUGGGCGGCCACACGGGGACUGAGAUACGGCCCAGACUCCUGCGGGAGGCAGCAGUGGGGGGUAUUGCACAAUGGGCGGAAGCCUGAUGCAGCGACGUCGCGUGAGGGAUGGAGGCCUUCGGGUUGUGAACCUCUGUUUCCGGUGGUGAAGGCCCUGUCCGUGUGGUGGGGUUGACGGUAGCCGGGGAUGAAGCGCCGGCUAACUACGUG